UGGUUCAGAGAUGGUGUAACACCAACACCCUGCGAAGUGUACGCAACACUGUCAUCAGUCGGCAGCCCCACCUGAUUAUGUCGCUCGCCUGCCGUUUCCCCGGCGUCCGAGGCCAAGAGCCCGCGGUAUACCAUCAAUAUGCGUCGGAGCAGGAGACCUUCGGCAUCGUCAAGUUCUGGUUGGAGUUCUACCGGCCUGGGGAGGGGCCAUGGCUAACAGAACUAAAAUCCCCAAGUUCCGCACCUCCUCCCUUUCUCGCAGCGUGUCCGCCGAGAGACGUCGGUCCGCACCGCGAGCAGGCUGGACACACUGGACCUGCAUGUGUUCCAACACCUUUGGACAGGGCAGAGUGAUGGUGGACAAGUGCAUGGAGUCCGAGACAGAAGACAUGCUGACAGCCUCUGUAUCUAGAUCAGGGGUGUUCGGCUGGAAAUGGAACCCUGGAGAUUCUGACGUCAACCUCCACUGUCAGGGUAUACCGAAUCAACCUGAGCACUAUCAAAACUAAAGGAACCAUGAUGUACGUGGAGUGUACAGUGUAUCUCUGUGUCACCACGAGGCCCUCUCAGAAGUGUCCUGAUCAGUGGUGACAGGGCCAGCAGCAACCAGGUAAUGGUUGACAACUUGCUGACCAGGAGCUACACCAUCCGCUCCGGCCCUGUUAGCCUCGUACCCACCACCGCUGCACUGGCAACUACCACUGUGGUCGCAGCAACCACCCCAUGGUACCAUUAGUACCACAGCAGCACAACUACAACAGCUCAAAUGCUCCGGCUGAGGACUCAAACAUGGCAGUGGGCGUGGUCUUGGCUGUCAUUCAUGUCUUACUUCAAAGCCUGCUUCAUCACUGAAGAGACAAAGGCUUAUAAUUCCUAUGUGUGUUAAAUUGUAGCUCUCAUGUGAAUUACUACAUACUAAUUUACAUUAUAAGAAGCAAUGGAAUUAAUGAUAUGACACACUUCUUACAUUGAAUGGGUCGUUUUUCAAGAUAAUUAUUUUGUACAGUUAUACUCCCAUGAUGGUUUUCUACAUCUUCCCUGAGGAAUGGUAGACUUACAUUGCAUCAAAACUCGAAAUUUGUGCCUGUAAAGCACGAACACCGAGAACUCACUGCCGAAAGGUACUUAUCACAGCGGGUGGCGUUCCUUUUAGAGCAAAAGCGGUACCUGCUGCGUGCCAACCUGGUAGCGACGACCUACGGCUUCUAGUCAGUGCCAACUUGAUUUUGAGCCAAUCAGAGGUUCGUCAUUAGUUACCACGCCACAAAGUCAUAAACCGAAAAUGUGA